ACAGCAGUCGCCGCGGUAAUACGGAGGGUGCAAGCGUUAUCCGGAUUUAUUGGGUUUAAAGGGUCCGUAGGCGGAUCUGUAAGUCAGUGGUGAAAUCUCACAGCUUAACUGUGAAACUGCCAUUGAUACUGCAGGUCUUGAGUAAAUUUGAAGUGGCUGGAAUAAGUAGUGUAGCGGUGAAAUGCAUAGAUAUUACUUAGAACACCAAUUGCGAAGGCAGGUCACUAAGAUUUAACUGACGCUGAUGGACGAAAGCGUGGGGAGCGAACAGGAUUAGAUACCCCGGUAGUCCCUGUCUCUUAUAC
rnacentral:rRNA from 1 species